rnacentral:rRNA from 1 species
GACGAACGCUGGCGGCGUGCUUAACACAUGCAAGUCGAACGGAAAGGCCCUGCUUUUGUGGGGUGCUCGAGUGGCGAACGGGUGAGUAACACGUGAGUAACCUGCCCUUGACUUUGGGAUAACUUCAGGAAACUGGGGCUAAUACCGGAUAGGAGCUCCUGCUGCAUGGUGGGGGUUGGAAAGUUUCGGCGGUUGGGGAUGGACUCGCGGCUUAUCAGCUUGUUGGUGGGGUAGUGGCUUACCAAGGCUUUGACGGGUAGCCGGCCUGAGAGGGUGACCGGCCACAUUGGGACUGAGAUACGGCCCAGACUCCUACGGGAGGCAGCAGUGGGGAAUAUUGCACAAUGGGCGGAAGCCUGAUGCAGCAACGCCGCGUGCGGGAUGACGGCCUUCGGGUUGUAAACCGCUUUCGCCUGUGACGAAGCGUGAGUGACGGUAAUGGGUAAAGAAGCACCGGCUAACUACGUGCCAGCAGCCGCGGUGAUACGUAGGGUGCGAGCGUUGUCCGGAUUUAUUGGGCGUAAAGGGCUCGUAGGUGGUUGAUCGCGUCGGAAGUGUAAUCUUGGGGCUUAACCCUGAGCGUGCUUUCGAUACGGGUUGACUUGAGGAAGGUAGGGGAGAAUGGAAUUCCUGGUGGAGCGGUGGAAUGCGCAGAUAUCAGGAGGAACACCAGUGGCGAAGGCGGUUCUCUGGGCCUUUCCUGACGCUGAGGAGCGAAAGCGUGGGGAGCGAACAGGCUUAGAUACCCUGGUAGUCCACGCUGUAAACGGUGGGUACUAGGUGUGGGGUCCAUUCCACGGGUUCCGUGCCGUAGCUAACGCUUUAAGUACCCCGCCUGGGGAGUACGGCCGCAAGGCUAAAACUCAAAGGAAUUGACGGGGCCCCGCACAAGCGGCGGAGCAUGCGGAUUAAUUCGAUGCAACGCGUAGAACCUUACCUGGGUUUGACAUGGAUCGGGAGCGCUCAGAGAUGGGUGUGCCUCUUUUGGGGUCGGUUCACAGGUGGUGCAUGGCUGUCGUCAGCUCGUGUCGUGAGAUGUUGGGUUAAGUCCCGCAACGGGCGCAACCCUUGUUCACUGUUGCCAGCACGUUAUGGUGGGGACUCAGUGGAGACCGCCGGGGUCAACUCGGAGGAAGGUGGGGAUGACGUCAAGUCAUCAUGCCCCUUAUGUCCAGGGCUUCACGCAUGCUACAAUGGCUGGUACAGAGAGUGGCGAGCCUGUGAGGGUGAGCGAAUCUCGGAAAGCCGGUCUCAGUUCGGAUUGGGGUCUGCAACUCGACCUCAUGAAGUCGGAGUCGCUAGUAAUCGCAGAUCAGCAACGCUGCGGUGAAUACGUUCCCGGGGCU